rnacentral:rRNA from 1 species
GACAGAGGUCCCAAGCGUUAGGCGGAAUCACUGGGCUUAAAGCGUGUGUAGGCGGAUUUGUAAGUACCUUGUGAAAUCCCACGGCUCAACCGUGGAACUGCUUGGUAUACUGCUUAUCUUGGGCCAUCUAGGGGCGAGCGGAACAAACGGUGGAGCGGUGAAAUGCGUAGAUACCAUUUGGAACGCCAAUGGUGAAAACAGCUCGCUGGGGGUGCACUGACACUGAGACACGAAAGCCAGGGGAGCGAACGGG